rnacentral:rRNA from 1 species
AGCAGCCGCGGUAAUUCCAGCUCCAAUAGCGUAUAUUAAAGUUGUUGCAGUUAAAAAGCUCGUAGUUGAAUUUCGGGGUUAGUAGACGGCAGUGUAGACGCCGGCAUUCACUAGGUUUACUGAUUCCUCCUUCCUGAUGAACUGUAAUGCCAUUGAUUUGGUGUUGCAGGGAAUCUGGACUGUUACUUUGAAAAAAUUAGAGUGUUUAAAGCAGGCUAACGCUUGAAUACAUUAGCAUGGAAUAAUGAAAUAGGACGUUCGAUCCUAUUUUGUUGGUUUCUAGGAUUGACGUAAUGAUUAAUAGGGAUAGUUGGGGGCAUUAGUAUUCAAUUGUCAGAGGUGAAAUUCUUGGAUUUAUUGAAGACUAACUAUUGCGAAAGCAUUUGCCAAGGAUGUUUCAUUAAUCAAGAACGAAAGUUAAGGGAUCGAAACGAUCAGAUACCGUCGUAGUUUUAACCAUAAAUUGUAGCCGACUAGGGAUCGGAUGAUGUUAAUUUUAAUGUACUUAUUCGGCGCCGUUACGGG